CCUCCUCCUCACCUAUAAAGCUCUUCAUGGUCAGGCCCCUUCAUAUCUUAAAGAGCUCAUAGUACCCUAUUACCCCACUAGAACACUACGUUCUCUGAAUGCUGGGCUACUUGUGGUUCCUAUAGUCUCUAAAAGUAGAACAGGAGCCAGAGCCUUCAGUUACCAAGCUCCUCUCCUGUGGAACCAGCUUCCAGUUGUGUCCUGAACCAUCCCUUAGUUAUGCUGCUAUAGGCCUAGACUAUCGGGGGAUUUCCCAUGGUGCACUGAGCUACUCUCUUCCUCUCUCUUUCUGCACUCAUUCAUGUCCCAUUAAUGCAUGUUACUAACUUCACUUCUUCCCCGGAGUUCUUGUGCUUUCUCGUCUCGCAGGUUCUCAUGGAUCCUGGUGGAGCCUCCUGCCAUGGUCCUGCUUGACUGCCAUUGCCAAUACUGUUGUUGCUGUGCACCUGUCUGUCUGUCUGUCGCUCGCUCUCUCUCUCUGCCUCUCUCUCUCUCUCUCUCUCUCUCUCUCUCUCUCUCUCUCUCUCUCUCACCCCAACUGGUCGAGACAGACGACCACCCACCUAGAGCCGGAGGAUCUGUCCUAGGUUUCUGCCUUUUAACAGGCAGUUUUUCCUUGCCCUUGUCGCCAAGUGCUUGCUCAUGGUGGUACUGUUGGGUCUCUGUAAAUAAUGUUUUAAAGAGUUCGGUCUAGACCUGCUCUAUUUGAAAAGUGUCCUGAGAUAACUUCUGUUAUGAAUUGGCGCUAUACAAAUAAAAUUGAAUUGAAUUGAA